CGAGAAUUGACAACCAAGAGCCGCCGUUGGUCAUCCUAUUCCGCCGAAUCUCUAUGGGUUCCUAUCAGAACUCUAAAAUGGGCUGAGAAAUAAUGACUGUGAUAAGCUUCCCAGAAUGAGGGAAAUAUUUCACUGACUGAAAGACACCUAAACAAGGCCAUAGUAAUCAUGAACGAAGUUAAGGAAAUGAAUGAUUACCAUUUAGUUGAUUUGCAAACAGAAUACUAAAGCCGAGUGACUGAUUUUCAUCCACAGAACAGUACAGGAUACUACAUGAUCUUCCAAAUUGGCUCUGGAGCAGAAUUCACGGAUGUGCAAGAGAAAAAGAUUGCCCCCACACAGUUUUCUGAGAAAAGCAAUUCUAACUAAAAAGAAAUGCCAUUAAUUAUAUCAUACAUUGAUAUAUUCCAUCAAUAUUCUGGUCACUAAAUCAAACAAGAUUAGCAACUUUAGAAGCUGCAAGAACUGACCUGCCAGGGGUAGAAUAAUGGGGUCUGAUCCAAGGGAACUCUUAGAGGAGCAACAAUGACUAGCUCAAACAAAAGUCCAAGCAAGAGUGGAACUACACCAGCCAGCAAUGCAGCAACAAUUAAUGUCUUCAUUAUCUAAAGAAGAAAAAAGUUUCAUUUAUUGAGAAUAACAUAAUAUGCUGUUUUUAAAUAGACAAGUGGGUAUAUAAAUAUUAAAAUCAAGAGGAACUCAAACAUAUAUAAACUUGUGCAGAUGCAUAAAAUCAGAAUUAUAAGAGACAUAUUUUUUACUUACUUCAGAUGUGUGACAAAAUUAGCAUGUCAGCUGGGUGUCAGAGCAAUGGCAUCAUGUCAUCAAAGAGGGCACAGGUUUCUGUUAAUGAUUUUUAAAAUUUCCUUUUCCCCCUCUGUAUUAAGCCUACUGGAGAUUUACGAUUAACAGUGACCCAACAUUGUGAAGUGAUUUCUGUUGAAUUUCAGAAUUCACUCAGAAAUUCAGCAAAAGAACUCCAUUCUUUUGUAUUGUGGUUCAGAGAGGAAGAGUAUCCAAGCAAACUUGAUAUUUCUUGAUGCUCUGCCCUUUUUUGCCUUGAAAAUUAGAUAGAACUGAAAAAAUACAGACCCAGUGAGAUGCCAAAGAGUUGAAAAGUAUCUCUUUUGUGCCUGUUGUUGUCUGUUCAUCCAAUGUUUUUAGAUUAUUUAAAAAAGAUUACAAUAUUGUAAUUGUUUAAUGACCAGUUGCUUAAUGGCCAUUCAAAGUUAUGACAGCCUUUGAAAGGGUGCUUUAUGGCCUGUAAAACACUCCUGACUGUUGCAAAAUAUUGUAACCCCUCCUCCCAUUACAUCAUUGCAAUCUGGAUGCUUGGCAACCUGUUCCGACUUAUGACUGGUUGCCAAGCACAUUAUGAUCACAUGAUCGCCAUUUGCAAUCUUCUCUACCAACCUCCACAGAAAGUGAAUGGAAAAGCUAGCAAGGAAAGUUGCAAGCUGCUGCCACCUGCUGAAAGGAUUUUGUCUCAUUGCUGGAGGAUGGUUGAAAGAACUCUGUUCAAUCUGUACCUGCUUGGAUCUUGACAGUCAAAAUCCAAACAGACAUAGAGCUUAAAAUUCUUCCCUCCCUGUCUCUGGGGAGCUCUCCACAGAAGUGGGGAAAGAAGGAUCCCAAAUUCCAUGCAUACCUGGACCUUCGCUGCCAAAAUUCAAGCACACACAGAACUUAAAAUCCCUUUUUUCCUACCUGUAUCCCACAGUGGUGGGGAGAGGAGGAUUUUGCAUUCCAUGUAUGCUUGGAAAUCCAGGAAGAAAUGGAGUUUGGGGCCCUUCUUUCCUAGUAUCUGCGUAGAGCUUUGCAGAGGAGGGGAGAAAGAGAUUUGGGAUUCUAGCAUGCUUGAAUUUUGGUAGAUGAGACCAAGGCAUGUGCAAGUUUGAGAUCUUUCUCUUAUUCCCCCCCCCCCACAGAAGCUUUCUGCAGAGAGAACAGACCUGGGGAGAGAAGGAGCCCAAGCUCUGUGCUUGCUUGAACCUCAGCAGCCAAAAUCCAAGCAUGCAUGGAGCCGCAAAUCCCUAUCUCACCAUGGAGAGCCCGCAGAGGCAGGGAGAUGAUUGUGCGUUGUAGCAUGAUUGUGCUACAGGACAGAGCUCAAAAUUCCUUUCUCCUUACAAAGGCUCCACAGGCAUUUAAAAAAAAUAAAAAAUAAAAACUAUUUUCUAGUGUUUUUUCAAUAUUUUAAUUUUUUUCUUUAAGAUUAAAGAUUGUCUUGUUAAUUAUAUAUGUAUAAAAUAAAUAAGAAAAUUAAAAGUGAGAACUGUUUUUUUCUGAUGCUUGACUGGAAUUCUACUAACUGGUAACAAUAAUAAACUAGAAUGGAGAAUAUCCAUUCUAGAAUAAAUUAGAAUGGAGAAUAUCUAUUGCGGUUAUGGCAGAUUGGUGACCAGAAGCAUUAACCAUUCAUUUAAUGAUAAAUGGAUAUUCUCUUGUCAAAUCCAUAUUGGCACUGAUUUUGUGAAUGGGUAGCUUAUAAGAACCUCCAAAAUUAUACUCUCAGAAUUCCAAUAAUAUUGUAAAUCCUUGCAUUCAGACUCUGUUCUUUUUCCAAUUACUAAUAUUAGUUUUCUUCUGUAGCUUUCCUGUUUCCAAGGAAACAUUUGUUAAAAUUAUAGCAUGAUCCAAGAGACAUGGUCUCAUUGCAUCUAUUGCAUUCUCUUCCAAAUAAAAAUAAAUAAAUAAAUGUUCUAACAA